rnacentral:rRNA from 1 species
AGAGCGAACGCUGGCGGCAGGCCUAACACAUGCAAGUCGAACGCGAUCUUCGGAUCGAGUGGCGCACGGGUGAGUAACGCGUGGGAAUCUGCCCUGUGGUACGGAAUAACAUCGGGAAACUGGUGCUAAUACCGUAUAUCCCCUGAGGGGGAAAGAUUUAUCGCCAUGGGAGGAGCCCGCGUAGGAUUAGCUAGUUGGUGAGGUAACGGCUCACCAAGGCGACGAUCCUUAGCUGGUCUGAGAGGAUGAUCAGCCACACUGGGACUGAGAUACGGCCCAGACUCCUACGGGAGGCAGCAGUGGGGAAUAUUGGACAAUGGGGGAAACCCUGAUCCAGCCAUGCCGCGUGUGUGAUGAAGGCCUUCGGGUUGUAAAGCACUUUCGCACGUGACGAUGAUGACGGUAACGUGAGAAGAGCCCGGCUAACUUCGUGCCAGCAGCCGC